CCUACGGGAGGCAGCAGUGAGGAAUAUUGCACAAUGGGCGCAAGCCUGAUGCAGCCAUGCCGCGUGUGUGAAGAAGGCCUUCGGGUUGUAAAGCACUUUCAGCGAGGAGGAAGGGUAGUGUGUUAAUAGCACAUUGCAUUGACGUUACUCGCAGAAGAAGCACCGGCUAACUCCGUGCCAGCAGCCGCGGUAAU
rnacentral:rRNA from 1 species